GCCGGGCGCAGUGGCCCACGUCUGUAAUCCCAGCUGCUUGGGAGACUGAGGCAGCAGGAUUGCAAGUUCAAAGCCAGCGUCAGCAAAUGAGCAAGGCCCAAGGUAACUUAGCAAGAUCCUGUCUCAA
rnacentral:sRNA from 1 species